AUUCCUUCUCGGCCUUUUGGCUAAGAUCAAGUGUAGUAUCUGUUCUUAUCAGUUUAAUACGAGGUCAGAAAGAUAUGAUAUGCCACAUACAUAGCCAAGGAGAGAACCAGAGAAGUUGUACCUUCACUGAGUGCCAGAUUCUUCACCUAUA
rnacentral:snRNA from 1 species